CCUGGCGGCCAUAGCGAAUGGGAACCACCCGAACCCAUGCCGAACUCGGAAGUGAAACCAUUCAGCGCCGAUGAUAGUGCGGGGCUUCCCCGUGUGAAAGUAGGUCACUGCCAGGC
rnacentral:rRNA from 1 species